rnacentral:ncRNA from 1 species
GUAUAGGUAAAUACCAUGAAACUAUGAGAUCGCGAACGGCUCAUUAAAUCAGCUAUGGUUCUUUAGAACAUAUAAACUACAUGGAUGACUGUAGUAAUUCUAUUGCUAAUACAUACUAUUAUGGCCUAACCCACGGGGGAAUGGAUGUAUUUACUAGAACAGAACCAACUAGGGGGAGUUUUCGUUGUCUGUGUUGAAUUCUUUGGUGACUCUGGAUAAAUUUCAUGAUCUCAGCGGGCCUUGUAUUGGCGAUGGAUCUUACUGCAGUUUAAAAAAAG